rnacentral:rRNA from 1 species
CCUACGGGUGGCAGCAGUGAGGAAUAUUGGUCAAUGGCCGGAAGGCUGAACCAGCCAUGCCGCGUGAAGGUCAGUGCCCUAUGGGCGUUAAACUUCUUUUGUGCGGGAGCAAUAAUGGUCACGUGUGGCCAGACGAGAGUACCGUACGAAUAAGCAUCGGCUAACUCCGUGCCAGCAGCCGCGGUAAUACGGGGGAUGCAAGCGUUAUCCGGAUUUAUUGGGUUUAAAGGGUGCGUAGGCUGUGAGGUAAGUCAGCGGUGAAAUGCCCCCGCUCAACGGGGUGAAGUGCCAUUGAUACUGCCUGGCUGGAAUGCGGAUGCCGUGGGAGGAAUGUGUGGUGUAGCGGUGAAAUGCAUAGAUAUUACACAGAACACCGAUUGCGAAGGCAUCUCACGAAGCCGCGAUUGACGCUGAUGCACGAAAGCGUGGGUAUCAAACAGGAUUAGAUACCCUUGUAGUC